UUGCUCCUCUGACGUUAGCGGCGGACGGGUGAGUAACACGUGGAUAACCUACCUAUAAGACUGGGAUAACUUCGGGAAACCGGAGCUAAUACCGGAUAANAUGUUGAACCGCAUGGUUCAACAGUGAAAGACGGUCUUGCUGUCACUUAUAGAUGGAUCCGCGCCGCAUUAGCUAGUUGGUAAGGUAACGGCUUACCAAGGCAACGAUGCGUAGCCGACCUGAGAGGGUGAUCGGCCACACUGGAACUGAGACACGGUCCAGACUCCUACGGGAGGCAGCAGUAGGGAAUCUUCCGCAAUGGGCGAAAGCCUGACGGAGCAACGCCGCGUGAGUGAUGAAGGUCUUCGGAUCGUAAAACUCUGUUAUUAGGGAAGAACAAAUGUGUAAGUAACUAUGCACGUCUUGACGGUACCUAAUCAGAAAGCCACGGCUAACUACGUGCCAGCAGCCGCGGUAAUACGUAGGUGGCAAGCGUUAUCCGGAAUUAUUGGGCGUAAAGCGCGCGUAGGCGGUUUUUUAAGUCUGAUGUGAAAGCCCACGGCUCAACCGUGGAGGGUCAUUGGAAACUGGAAAACUUGAGUGCAGAAGAGGAAAGUGGAAUUCCAUGUGUAGCGGUGAAAUGCGCAGAGAUAUGGAGGAACACCAGUGGCGAAGGCGACUUUCUGGUCUGUAACUGACGCUGAUGUGCGAAAGCGUGGGGAUCAAACAGGAUUAGAUACCCUGGUAGUCCACGCCGUAAACGAUGAGUGCUAAGUGUUAGGGGGUUUCCGCCCCUUAGUGCUGCAGCUAACGCAUUAAGCACUCCGCCUGGGGAGUACGACCGCAAGGUUGAAACUCAAAGGAAUUGACGGGGACCCGCACAAGCGGUGGAGCAUGUGGUUUAAUUCGAAGCAACGCGAAGAACCUUACCAAAUCUUGACAUCCUCUGACCCCUCUAGAGAUAGAGUUUUCCCCUUCGGGGGACAGAGUGACAGGUGGUGCAUGGUUGUCGUCAGCUCGUGUCGUGAGAUGUUGGGUUAAGUCCCGCAACGAGCGCAACCCUUAAGCUUAGUUGCCAUCAUUAAGUUGGGCACUCUAAGUUGACUGCCGGUGACAAACCGGAGGAAGGUGGGGAUGACGUCAAAUCAUCAUGCCCCUUAUGAUUUGGGCUACACACGUGCUACAAUGGACAAUACAAAGGGUGGCGAAACCGCGAGGUCAAGCAAAUCCCAUAAAGUUGUUCUCAGUUCGGAUUGUAGUCUGCAACUCGACUACAUGAAGCUGGAAUCGCUAGUAAUCGUGGAUCAGCAUGCCACGGUGAAUACGUUCCCGGGUCUUGUACACACCGCCCGUCACACCACGAGAGUUUGUAACACCCGAAGCCGGUGGAGUAA
rnacentral:rRNA from 1 species